rnacentral:rRNA from 1 species
CCUACGGGACGCAGCAGUAGGGAAUCUUCCACAAUGGACGAAAGUCUGAUGGAGCAACGCCGCGUGAGUGAAGAAGGGUUUCGGCUCGUAAAGCUCUGUUGGUAGUGAAGAAAGAUAAAGGGAGUAACUGGCCUUUAUUUGACGGUAAUUACUUAGAAAGUCACGGCUAACUACGUGCCAGCAGCCGCGGUAAUACGUAGGUGGCAAGCGUUUUCCGGGGUUAUUGGGCGUAAAGCGCGUGCCGGCGGU